CCUACGGGAGGCUGCAGUGAGGAAUAUUGGUCAAUGGGCGAGAGCCUGAACCAGCCAAGUCGCGUGAAGGAUGACGGCCCUACGGGUUGUAAACUUCUUUUGUCAGGGAGCAAUUUGGUCCACGCGUGGGCUUAGCGAGAGUACCUGAAGAAAAAGCAUCGGCAAACGCCGUGCCAGCAGCCGCGGUAAUACGGAGGAUGCGAGCGUUAUCCGGAUUUUUUGGGUUUAAAGGGUGGGGAGGCGGGAGAUCAAGUCGGCGGAAAAUUCGGGGCUAAACCCCGUCGUGCCGUUGAAACUGAUGUUCUUGAGUGGGCGAGAAGUAUGCGGAAUGCGUGGUGUAGCGGUGAAAUGCAUAGAUAUCACGCAGAACUCCGAUUGCGAAGGCAGCAUACCGGCGCCCAACUGACGCUGAAGCACGAAAGCGUGGGUAUCGAACAGGAUUAGAUACCCUAGUAGUC
rnacentral:rRNA from 1 species